GAAAUGUCUCAUGGUCGGAGAAGAUAAACUUUCAUUCACUAUUACAAUGAAUGGGCAUAAGUUGAAACAGAGGCACUCUGAAGGAACCCUGAUGGAAAGGCUGUCAUUCUUUAGGCAGGAUCACAAAAAAUUUUCAAAGUGCAAUUGAGAAGAAAUUUCAAGUUUGCUUUUU